rnacentral:rRNA from 1 species
AUACGGAGGGUGCAAGCGUUAAUCGGAAUUACUGGGCGUAAAGCGCGCGUAGGCGGCUUUGUAAGUCGGAUGUGAAAGCCCUGGGCUUAACCUGGGAAUGGCAUUCGAUACUGCAGAGCUAGAGUAUGGUAGAGGGAAGUGGAAUUUCCGGUGUAGCGGUGAAAUGCGUAGAUAUCGGAAGGAACACCAGUGGCGAAGGCGACUUCCUGGGCCAAUACUGACGCUGAGGUGCGAAAGCGUGGGGAGCAAACAGGAUUAGAAACCCGGGUAGUCC